rnacentral:lncRNA from 1 species
GCACUCCAGUUGACUUUGCGGAGAUAUGGAAGGCGGCUUUGGCUCGGAUUUCGGGAGCUCCGGCAGCGGGAAGCUGGACCCGGGGCUUAUCAUGGAGCAGGUGAAAGUGCAGAUCGCCGUGGCCAACGCGCAGGAGCUGCUGCAGAGGAUGACGGACAAGUGCUUCCGGAAGUGCAUCGGGAAGCCGGGGGGCUCCUUGGACAAUUCGGAGCAGAAGUGCAUCGCCAUGUGCAUGGACCGCUACAUGGACGCCUGGAACACCGUGUCCCGUGCCUACAACUCUCGGCUGCAGCGAGAACGAGCCAACAUGUGAUCGCGACGCGCCAGCAGCCCACUUCCCACCCCACCCCACUCCCAGUUCCAUCUCCAUAAAUGCUGUUUGUGAGGCGGGGGCCAACGUGUGCGUGCUGCCUGCCAGAAGUUUAUGAGGACCAGACUGGUGCUGGGACAGUUGGUAUUCUGUCUCUCCGUGCCCCGUUCGCGCACACGUGCCGGCGAGUGUAACUUGCGUCUGGGGGGCCCCUGGCCCGGGUGGUGCCUUCCCUAGUGCCCCUGUUACCGAAUUGUGUCAUAUGGACCCUGUUGGGGGCCGGCUUAGGCUCUAUGUCUCCUAGGGGGUGUUCUUUUUCUGUUCCGUGGAGCCUGAAGCUGAGAUGGACACAGCACAAGCUUUAUUCAGCAGUUAAAGUAUGGAGACGCGUGAACAAACGAACUCACAGAUCAGCUUCUUAGCUGGCGAGAGGGGCUUAAUUUUAACAAGGAGGCCUGUGUGUAUGUCUACGCGGGAAGGGGCUGAGCUUUUUCCGAGGGAGUGGGGUGCCACCUCUUUUUUAUCUUUUUUGGUCUUUAAUGUCUGGUCGAGGCUGCGGAUGCGUGUGUUAUUUAAUAAGCUAAUGUAGUAAAAUCCACACAUAAUGAGACAGCGUUUGUUGGAAGUCAGAUUUGCCACCAUUUUCCUCCCAGCAGGGUUUCGUGGUUUUGUUUUUGUGUGUAUGUGUCUUCGUGUUCUAUGCAUUAGGAUUAACUGAAAGUUAAUCUUUAAAGAUUUCUGUUCACUCCUACUAAAAGGUGGGGUGGUGGUUGGCAGGUUUUGAGCAGGGACCUCCUUCCUGCAAAAGGUCAGGGUGGAUAGGUUGUGAGGAAAGGGCUGGAGCAGCUCUGGUGACAAACUACUCCCUUCCUUAUUAUUGCUCAUUCCUUUUUUUUUUUCUUCUUUUUUUUUUUUUUUUUUUAAUGGCUGCAGGUGAGGCCUAUGGAAGUUCCUGGGCCAGGGAUUGAAUUCAAACCAAAGGACUUCCCUUGUGGCUCACAACAUAACUACAUGGUGUUGUUUCUACAGUGGCUGUGGUUCUGUCCCUGGCUCGGCAAUUUCCAUAUGCUGCAGGAGUGGCCAGUUGUUAUAAAAAAAACAAAAAGAAGAAGAAGAAGAAUGAAUCUGAGCCAAAGCUAUGACUUACGUUACACCUGUGGCAAUUCAGGAUCCUUUAACCUGCUGUGCCAGGCCAGAAACUGGAGCCGCUGCAGCCAGAUUCUUAAUCUACUGUGCCACAGUGAAAACUCCCUGCCCCUCAUUCUUUUUUUUUUUAAUUUUUAAAUUUUAUUUAUUUAUUUAUUUAUUUAUUUUUGUCUUUUUGCUAUUUCGUGGGCCGCUCUCGCGGCAUAUGGAGGUUCCCAGGCUAGAGGUCGAAUCGGAGCUAUAGCUGCCAGCCUACGCUGGAGCCACAGCAACGCAGGAUCCGAGCCGAGUCUGCGACCUACACCACAGCUCACGGCAAUGCCGGAUCCUUUAACCCACUGAGCAAGGGCAGGGAUCGAACCCGCAACCUCAUGGUUCCUAGUCGGAUUCGUUAACCACUGCGCCACGACGGGAACUCCUUUGCCCCUCAUUCUUGAGGGUGAAAGUGUGUCUUCUGAGGCUGCUUCCUGUUGAACUUGGGGAAUAGUUUUUUUCUGUAGCAGAGCUGUUCCUGACUUGCCUAAAAUAUAUCUGAUUGUCACCAGGCAGCAGUCCCAGUGCUUAUACCCCCCUGUAUGAGUAUCAGCUGAAGCUUGAGGACUCUGAACCAUUUACUAAAAAAGCUGACAAGGCUGUUCGAGAGGCCAGGCCUGAAGAUGAUCAGGAGAUUAAUAGCAGUUAGUGCAUCAAGAUGAGGAAGAUACCAGGUUUUAUUGGGAAGGCCCUGUUUGACUAUAUUCCAGAUGGAGCUUGGGUUAGGACCUUGUGUGUUAUAUCUUUGUAACCUCUGAGCUUGCUCUUGUAUCUCUUUUAUGUUUAUCUCAGUCUGAUGAGAGUGUGGGGCAAGUUUUAUUGGUAACUGCAGAGACUCCCCCCUUGCUCAGCCAGGAGAUAGUCAAGGACAGUAUUUGCUCCUGAGUCCAGAGAAGUAGGGGAUCCUUGGAAGGCAUCCCCCAUGUUUUUAGACAAGUUCUCAAGGGCCCAUGUGAGAUUUUGUGCCGUGAUUUCGUAGUACGUAAAACCUCCCAGGGGGCUGCCAGGCCCAGAGCAAUCCCUACUCCUUCCAGGAUGAGUUUUAUUGCCUUUUUGUCUCAGGCCUGGGUGAUGUUAUGAAUGGUUAUACCUAGGUUCCUAAAACUUAGCUAGUGUAGCAUGCAUUUUGCACAAACUGGGCAUCAUCUAAGCAAGGGUAGGCUAGGUUUGUUCUGAUAGGGCAAGUGGUUUAUCCCUGGGCUCCAAAGGAACAGGUAGGUACCCAGAGGGAGCCCAUGCCUGGUGCACUUAUGAGGAGUUGAACCACCUUCAUAAGAGGCUGGCCCAAGAGGCGGUGGCCUUGCAGUGUGGGAAGAGAAGCCCACCUGCAUAUUGGGGGUCACUGGGGGAAUUCUUGACUGGUGACUUUUCCCCAGAAAUUUGGGAGAGCCAUAGACUAAACAUCAGACAUCGUCUCUUCCCAGCAGGUGCAUCUCCCAUCUGGUCCCUGUGUAUAUUCACGGAGUCAGAGUAGAGGGCACCAAUGGGUGAGAUUUCCACACGAGUCAAUCCCAGGGCGCUUAAAUUGUGAGGUAAUGGGAGAAACAUUGAUUGGAGUUCACAGCAGCUCCAGGGUGUUACUGUCGAUUCUUCCCUUUGGGGGGGUGGCCGUUCAUGGGGCGGUGGAAGUGGGAGAUCAGUUAGAGUGGUGGCACUUGAGAGUGAGUGCUUUGUGUUUGUUAGCGAUGCUAACGUGAGGGGUGAGGGCCAAGCAGGCAACUGUGUUGCGGUGGGACGUGGACUUCAAGAGGGCUAAAUUUGGCAGAGCUGUGAGCCAAGGUGAGAGUGAGGUCGUCAUUCUCAGGGGUAAGAUGUAAUACCUUUCAUCCAUAGGCGUCACUGUGGAUGUGGGUGACGGACCAGCCCUGGGAUAGAUUUUGCCCAUGGGCAAGAAAUUUGCGAUUCCAUUAAGUUCCCAUUCUGCAUGGAUAGUUGUCUGAAAAUAGAGCAGAGAAUAUAAGGAAGAGUUGUCCAUAAUGGCUCUUCAUCCUGUUUCCUGUGUUAACAUCCAGCAUGGACAGUCAAGAUGUUUGCCAGAGAAGGGCAUUUGGCAGAACACCAGAAGUCAAGUAAGGCAAUAGUAAUGGCAAGGCCAAAUACUCAGCCUGUCCACCGCAUUACUUAGUUGGUGGUAAGUUUGUCCUUUUGAAGAGGAACUUAAGGUCUGUGACACGUUCACAAGGGUAACGAGUGGGUGGCCCAGUCACUUCUUCCUCAGACAUAGUGAUGUCUUCCCUCUGGUAGGAUGGGUCCUGUAAUUUGAGGGCAGAAUGAGUUGACUAGAUAAGGUCCUCUCCACUUGGGGUCUCACUAACUGGUCUUGUGGGUUUCCAGCCUUCCAAGUUUUCAAAUAAACCCAGUCCCCGGGGAGAAAGGAUGUAUGGCCAUGCCAGGAGGGAAGGUGGCUCGAUUGUCUUGCGGUGGAAAGCUGGGAUUAUUUCCCUCUCUGUAAGGCAUGUUUCUGUCGAGCUGUGUCCCUAAGGUUGAUCUUGGAGCUGGUCCUUCAGGAACGUGCCUCUCGUGUACGGGCUCGUAUGGACUCAGACUGAGCUUUCCUCGAGGGGUGAGUCCCAUUCUCGCAAGUGCAGUGGGGAGAAGGGGGAUCCAGGGUUGAUGAGUGUCUUGACAGAGUUUGGCUCAGUUUCUCUGGAGGGUUUGACUUAUUCUACUUUUCUUGAGGACUGUGGUUUCCGAAUGGGACGUAAACCCCAUUUAAUUCUUAGAGCUCUAGGGACUCCCUCGGUAGUCUGAAACAGAGGGAGGCCAUUGUCGCUCUGGAUGGACUUAGCCCAAACCCAGGAUUUGUCCCUUGAGCAGCGCCAUCGAGACAGACCUCCAGGGCAGUGUUGGUUCGAUGGGGAUGACCUCCAUCCAGCCUGAGAACAUGUCGGUCAAAACCCUGCAGAUAGCUAAGAUUUCCUUGUGGCCAGGAUAUUACUGUAAAAUCAGUUUGCCAGGCAGUUCCCUGGUGGUGCAGUGGGUUGAGGAUCUGGUGCUAUCUCUGCUGUGGUGGAGGUUUGAUCCCUGGUCUUGAAACUUCUACAUGCCCACCCCCCCCAAAUCAGUGUAUCUGUCUUGACCUGGGUAUGUGGCUCUAUGCUGGGUGUUGGUCAUUCCCUUGACCUUUCUGGGGGUGGGGGGUGCAUGUGGUGAGUGGUGGGCUUAUUCCAGAGGCGGACAGGCAAGCUUUAACCACCUGUUGAAGGAGGCAUGAGAAACGGGGCCGUCAUGGACGUGAUGAGCAAUCAGUAUGGGGGCCCCCUGCCUGUGAUUGUGCUCUGGCGGGCGUCCCGGCUGGCGCAGUGCAGUGGCCAAUGGGAGGGGCAGCUGCCCAUGGUCAUAACCACCCACCCUGGGAAUCCUGGGCUUUUAAAAUAGCCCCAUCUGGGGAGUUCCCGUGGUGGUGCAAUGGAAAUGAAUCCAACGAAUAUCCAUGAAGAUGCAGGUUCGAUCUGUGGCCUUGCUUAGUGGGGUAAGGAAGGAUCUGGCGUUGCCAUGAGCUGCGGGGUAGGUCAUAGGGCUCAGGUCCCGUUUGGCUGUGGCAUAGGCCGGCGGCCACAGCUCUGAUUCGACCCCUAUGCUGGGAACUUCCAUGUGGCCCGGACAUGGCCCUAAAAAGCCAAAAAAAAAAAGCUCCACCUCAAAGCCCUUCCCCUUUUUUCUGGGGUGUAGGUGGGAGUGUAGGACUUCAGUUCUGGGGGAACUGGUAGGAAGAGAGAAGGAUCUUAGAGAAGCCUGACUUGGACUUGGAGGGUUUGACCCGUGUGCCCCCUUUCUUUAUGAGAAGCUGGAGCUAGUGGGGGUCAGGGACUGUCCAGAGGUUAAUUUGUCAGCCUCAUUGAGGACCCCCUCCCUUAAGCAUGGGGUCCUCCUUUCGUGCUUUGGACCAGUUUUAGAAAAAUAGGCUGCAGCCUGAGUCAGAGGUCCCCGAUUGUGUAAACGCUCAGGGCAGCUCCUCCUUUCUCAUGCAUGUAUGUGUGGACGGGAUGGCUCAGGUCAGAGGAGCUAACUUGGGGGUCUCAUGAGAUGGUUUUUCAGUUCCAGAAAUGCCUGGUCACAACUGGGGGUCCCCUGGAAGGGGUCAAGUUCCUCCCCUUUUCAGUGUUCUCACAAGGGCUUAGCGAUUAAGCCACAGUUAGGGAUCCCUGUGCAGCAGGACCCGACCAUCCUGGGAACCCCAGAGCUGCUUCCUUGUACUAGAGGCGCCAUCUGGCAACUCUUUCCUCUCCCUGUACAGGGCCCUUUGCCCCUUUUCUGUAAUGAACCCUAAGUGUUCUACCUGCCAGAGGGAGGUGUGCGCUUUCUCCUCUGCAGCUGUAUCCUCCCUCAGCCGGUGAUUUAAGACCUUAACUGCAUCGUGGUGAGGAAGCUCUUUGGUGGGGCUGGUGGUGAAAUGUCAUCCACUGUUGAAUAGCUCCCUGUUCUAACUUGAGGUGACCAACGUCCUUGGCUCAGCAGUAACAAACCCGACGAGUAUCUGGAUGUGGGUUCACUCCCUGGCCUCGCUCAGUGGGUUGAGGAUCCAGUGUUGCCGUGAGCUGUGGUAUAGUUCGAGGAUGCAGCUCGGAUCUGGCGUUGCUGUGGCUGUGGUGUAGCCUGGCAGCUAUAGCUCGGAUUAGACCCCUAGCCUGGGAACCUCCAUGUGCUUGCUGUGGGUGCGGCCCUAAAAAAUAUAAAAAAAAAAAAAACCAUAGGGAGGUUUUAAAUCCUUGGAGAUACAGAAACAUUCAGCACAAUUGUUAUUUUCCCAUGCUGUCAGGGUUUCUGCCACCCAAGCGCAAAAAUGUAUUGAGAUUCUGGAGCUAGGGGCACACGCAAGAGGGCCUCUAACCCGGAGUACCAGGUCCUCUCAGGGCGUAGGUAGAGCGGUGAUGUGUUGGGCACCACAGUGUGAAUCUCCUCUGUAGCUUCAUUUACAGCCCAGAGGUCCUGAGCUUCCCAUUUGGCUCCUUUACCAGCAGAAGAGGAGUGUUGCAAGGGGGCCAGCGGGGUCUAAGGAGCUCUUGCUUGAGGAGGCUUUGUGUUGCUAAGGCUUCUUUGCUUAAGAGGUAUUGUGUUUUUAUUUGGGUGAUUGUGACUGGGUCACAGCCUGACUACGAGGGGCGGUGCCCUUCUGACUCUGCCCAUGGUGUCCCGGGUCCCUACUGGGGACCCUCAGGGUCAAUCAGGCUGUUAUUCUUGGCAGAGGGCAGUCGCACUUGGGCUGCAAAAUGGAAGGGAGCUUUGGGUGUUGCGAUGGUAAGGCGUUGGUCUCUGAGGUGAAUUGUAGCUCCCAGUUUGUAUAGUGCAUCUUUUCCUUUGAGGGGAGCUGAGCGGCGUUCUGGUACGUGUAAGAGUGAGACAGCAUUCUACCUUCUGCAUCCUACUCCAGGGGCUCUAUAAAGUUAUAUCCCUGCGGCCUCCCUUCUGCUCGCUUUAUCUUAGAGUUAUCCUUCGUCUUUUUGCUUUGUCGGUGUUCAAGGCUGAGUAGGUGGACACUGUGUCCACUAGAAAGUCAACCUUGGGGAGUUCCCGUCGUGGCGCAGUGGUUAACGAAUCCGACUAGGAAUCAUGAGGUUGCGGGUUCGGUCCCUGCCCUUGCUCAGUGGGUUAACGAACGAUCUGGCGUUGCCGUGAGCUGUGGUGUAGGUUGCAGACGCGGCUCGGAUCCCGCGUUGCUGUGGCUCUGGCGUAGGCCGGUGGCUACAGCUCCGAUUCAACCCCUAGCCUGGGAACCUCCAUAUGCCGCAGGAGCGGCCCAAGAAAUAGCAACAACAACAACAACAACAAAAAAAAAGACAAAAAAAAAAAAAAAAGAAAGUCAACCUUUUUUUUGGAGUUCCUGUCACGGCACAGUGGAAAUGAAUCCAACUAGGAACCAUGAAGUUGUGGGUUCGAUCCCUGGCCUCCUCGCUCAGUGGGUUAAGAAUCCGGUGUUGCCAUGACCUGUGGUGUAGGGCGCAGAUGCAGCUCAGAUCUGGCGUGGCUGUGGCUGUGGUGUUGGCCAGCAGCUGUAGCUCCGAUUCGACCCCUAGCCUGGGAACCUCCAUAUGCUGUGGUGUGGCUCUAAGGAAAAAAAGAAAGUCAACCUUUUUUGGUUUUUCUCCUCCUUUUUUGGCUGCAUGGCCAUAGAGCAUACUCCAUAGAGUUCUCAGGCCAGAGAUCAGAUCUGUGCCACACUUGGGACCUAAGCCACAGCUGUGGCAGCAGUGUGCCUGGCUGGGGAUUGAACCUGCAUCCUGCCGCUGCAGAGACAUCACCGAUCCAAUUGCACCGCAGCAGGAACUCCAGAGAGUUAGCCUUUUUACCCCCCACAGUCAGGUUCAGCCGAGGCUCCUCCAGGUUCUCUGCUUCUUUCACGUGUAUGACCAGUGAGCAUGAGCCAGGACACUGUGUCCCUUAGCUCCCUUCCAGUACCAUUGGGGCACCCCUGUCCAGGGGCCCUCCUGCAGGCGGUAUGGAUGCUGAUUGGCUUGGAGCCCUUCUCUCCACUGUGGGCAUGGUCUUUGAAACCCAGCGCAGUUCGUCCAUGUCACUGGGUUGGGGGUGCAUCAUCACUGGAAGUUGGUUGAUCCUGAAUCCCUGAAGCCAGAACACUGACAGUUCUUUCUCUUCAUCUAUCCUCCCUGGCAUCCACCUCCAGAUCCCUAACAUCCAAAAUGCAGACCCCACCUCUGGCACGGCGGGCCCUCCCUCCAACUUCUGUCACUUUCUCCUGUUGUCUGGGUGCUCUGGGAAGUGAAAUGGAGCUUAAAGUGGCCCUCCCUUCCACUGCCCCCAGGUUCACAUUUGUGUACACGGGAAGGCCGAGGGGUUUUCCUCCCGCCCCUGGAUACCACCCUGAGCCCUAUUCCAGUUGAUAGGUUUCUUCCCAGCCAACUGAAUGCCCUUAGGAAUCAAAUCCUGUGGAGUUCCCUGGUGGCAUAGUGGGUUAAGAAUCUGGUGUUGUCAUUGCUGUGGCUCUGGUUACAGCUGUGGCAUGAGUUUGAUCCCUGGCCUGGGAACUUUCCCAUGCCAUGGGGAAGGCCAAAAAAAAAAAAAAAAAAAAAA